rnacentral:rRNA from 1 species
GAUGAACGCUGGCGGCGUGCCUAAUACAUGCAAGUCGAGCGAACGGACGAGAAGCUUGCUUCUCUGAUGUUAGCGGCGGACGGGUGAGUAACACGUGGAUAACCUACCUAUAAGACUGGGAUAACUUCGGGAAACCGGAGCUAAUACCGGAUGAUAUUUUGAACCGCAUGGUUCAAAAGUGAAAGACGGUCUUGCUGUCACUUAUAGAUGGAUCCGCGCUGCAUUAGCUAGUUGGUAAGGUAACGGCUUACCAAGGAAACGAUGCAUAGCCGACCUGAGAGGGUGAUCGGCCACACUGGAACUGAGACACGGUCCAGACUCCUACGGGAGGCAGCAGUAGGGAAUCUUCCGCAAUGGGCGAAAGCCUGACGGAGCAACGCCGCGUGAGUGAUGAAGGUCUUCGGAUCGUAAAACUCUGUUAUUAGGGAAGAACAUAUGUGUAAGUAACUGUGCACAUCUUGACGGUACCUAAUCAGAAAGCCACGGCUAACUACGUG